GACAAACGCUGGCGGCGUACCUAAGACAUGCAAGUCGAACGGGACUUUCCGCUUCGGCGGGGAGUCGAGUGGCGGACGGGUGAGUAACGCGUAGGAACCUGUCACGGGGUGGGGGAUACCGCUGGGAAACCGGCGCUAAUACCGCAUAGCAUGCGCGAGCAUGAAAGCAGCGAUGCGCCGUGUGAGGGGCCUGCGUCCGAUUAGCUAGUUGGUGGGGUAAGGGCCUACCAAGGCGACGAUCGGUAGCUGGUCUGAGAGGAUGGUCAGCCACACUGGG
rnacentral:rRNA from 1 species